rnacentral:rRNA from 1 species
GCUGCCUCCCGUAGGAGUCUGGGCCGUGUCUCAGUCCCAGUGUGGCCGGUCACCCUCUCAGGCCGGCUACCCGUCAAAGCCUUGGUAGGCCAUUACCCCACCAACAAGCUGAUAGGCCGCGAGCACAUCCCCCACCGAAAAAACUUCCCACCCCACACCAUGCGGUGCAAGGAGAAUACCCGGUAUUAGCCACCCUUUCAGGCAGUUAUCCCGAAGUGGAGGGCAGAUUACUCACGUGUUACUCACCCGUUCGCCGCUCGAGUACCCCCGAAGGAGCCUUUCCGCUCGACUUGCAUGUGUUAAGCACGCCGCCAGCGUUCGUCCUGAGCCAGGAUCAAACUCU